GUUACGAGCCAAUUCCAUUUAGUGCUUCUAUGAAUGAAUCCACUCCCACUGGUAUUACUGACCAUAUUGCCCAAGUCAAAGUAAACAAAUAUGGAGAUACUUGGGACGAGUGAAAGACUCCGCCAUUGGACCUACUGAAGGCCUUCCAUAUCCAGCUUCAUCAGGUGGUCGUGUGUCCUACAUGCUUGGACUCAGCAGCAGAUUUCAUAAAUACAUUUAAAACGAAAUCCUGGUUUGUGUGAUUUAACAAUGCUUUACGGACUCAGAUUUUAAUGUUUACUAUGGUGUAGAUGUACCAACCUGGUCGCCGAGAAUGGUGAUACUCUGCCAUAGUUGCGUGCACUCGGUGAAAUUGUUUCUGCUACAGGAGACAGACUCAUGAAACUCGACUGUGACUCUUGAUCAGCCCAUGUGACGAUAGCUGCAUGCUGAAGGGGGGGUGGGGGGAGCGAGCACAUGCCCAGGGUUCCGCUUCGCAUCAGUUAUUAAAAGGCCUUUCUCCAGCAUUUACUCGAGCAUCUUAGUGUCUGUGGUGAAUAAAGUGUACACACAGUGAC
rnacentral:lncRNA from 1 species